UCUACUGGAGGAUCCACACUGUAAACUGAAGAAACUACUUAUUUGACAGUGGAAACUCCACGAGCUCCAAACAACUGAAUCAAAACAACACGUCUUGAACAAGACUGUCACAUGGACAUUAACCCCCUGGGGUCGAAGCAUCAGUGCGGUCUGUGUAAUAUUUUCUUGAUGACCGUGAACAGAACUAAAAAUA